AUUAAACCUUGCGCCGCCGGUAAUAUAAUAUUAUUUUCCAAUAAUCGGGAUUACGAAAAAGUUAAAAUAGUUGAAGAGGGGAAGGGGAUUCAAGAAUAGAUAAUUGCACAGGCUAUUGGACGCGGCCGUUAACGAUAAUAAUAAUUUCCGUUGACAAGCGUCCGCCCAAAAUGUGAAAUUUAAAUAAAUAACAUCGUAAAUGA